GCGGGUGUAGCUCAGAGGAAGAGUACGACCUUGCCAAGGUUGUUGACGCGCGUUCGAAUCGCGUCACUCGCU
rnacentral:tRNA from 1 species